rnacentral:Y_RNA from 1 species
GGCUGGUCCGAAGGUAGUGAGUUAUCUCCUUUGAUUGUUCACAGUCGGUUACAGAUUGAACUCCUUGUUCUACUACUUUACCCCCUUCUCACUACUGUACUUGUCUAGUCCUAA